UACGGGGGGGGCAAGCGUUGUUCGGAAUUACUGGGCGUAAAGGGUGCGUAGGCGGCUUUCUAAGUUGGAUGUGAAAACUCUGGGCUCAACCCAGAGCCUGCAUCCAAAACUGGAGAGCUAGGGUUCUGGAGGGGAAAGCGGAAUUCCUGGUGUAGCGGUGAAAUGCGUAGAUAUCAGGAGGAACACCGGUGGCGAAGGCGGCUUUCUGGACAGAUACCGACGCUGAGGCACGAAAGCGCGGGGAGCGAACAGG
rnacentral:rRNA from 1 species